AAAUAAAAUAUAAGGAGUAGGUACAUAUUCCAACUUUAUUAAGUUCAAAACUGUUUUUAAAUAGAUAUGAUAAUCUCAUCACCAGCAGCAGGGUAGAAGAUGUAUAAUGCUGUUUAGCUGUAUGUAAACUCAAGAGAGUUGAUUUAUUAAUUGUUUCCAUUCUAUUUGCAGUAGUACCUUGUUAUACUUUAAUCUGUAAUAAUACUGAAAGAUGCAAUACUGAUUAUUGUUUCCCAUUAAUUAAUUUAUUCAUUUUACAUUCUAAUCACUGAAUUUCCUCUUCCUGGUCCCUCAUCUUCCAUUCCCUCUUCUCCUCUGAGAAUAAGGAGACCUACUCAGGGUAUUAUGUCUCCACAUGGCUAGGCACAUCCUUUCUCACUGAGGACAGGCAAGGCAACCCAGUUACUGACUGGGAUGAGAUCCACAAACAGGCAAUAGGUUUAGGGACAGGCCCUGAUCAUGGUUAUUUUGUAACAUUUCUGUCAUAGGUACUUCUAUGGAAUUUUGUUCAAAUGCUUCUUAUACUGAAAUUUAUAGACAUAUUUUUAUUGUAAUUCCAAAAUACUAUAAUAUUCUUCAUAAUUUCCUUUUUUCAUAGAUAUAAUCUAUAAUCAUUUGUUUUCACUCUGUGGCUAGUCUUUCCAUUUUCUUAUUAGUAUUUCUUGUAGACUAUAAUAAUUAUCAAAAUUAUUGAGGUCACACUUUUGGCAUCUAUGAAUAUCACCAUUGUGGGACAAGAGAAGAUUUUGUUUGAAUCACUGAGAUAGGAACAAAUAAAUUCUCUACAGUAGAUAGUAGAGAAAGGCAGAAAGAAAUUUCACACAACUAGAAUAGGUAAUUUGCAGAUAGAUCCAGGAGAGAUCUAAUGAUCCUAUGUUGCUGGCCUUAAAGACACUCAUGAGCCAAAGAAAAAAAUCAACUGAAAGUGGUUUGGGAACUGGAAGAUUAAAGGAAGAUUAGAGAGACCCAUGGUACUGGUGUAGUCCUGCUCUAUCUUUUUUUUUUUUUUUUAAUCCAGUGAAUUCCAUGUUGAAAUUCUGACCUACAAAUGUGGCAAAUUAUAUACUGUGUGAUUCUUUUGCAAAAUUCUAUAAUAUUCUUUAUUCAAUUUAAAUGCAUCAGUGAGUAUUUUUCACUAUGUCACAACACAUAGUGAAAAACACUACAGUAUUUACAGUACUUACAUUGUAUUUUUCACUAUGUCACAGUACAUUUAAUUUGCUAAGCCAUGAUAAGUAACCCCAAAAUAUCCCUAAGCCACCAGGUGGAACCCAAACAGCUCAAUGGUUGACAAACAUGGGUUGUUGUUUUAUUUUAUAUAUGUCCAAAUAAAUACUUUUAAAGAACAUUGAGGUCGCACUUGGCUAUUGUCAAAGCAAAUUAAAUUGUAAGCUAACUUACACAACAGGAUGCACACAAUUUUGUUUCCACUUUUGCCAGUGGAGACAUUGAUGUCUAGGAAAAGAGUAGACAGGCUUCAGGAUUUGACAGUUCUUACCACUCUGCUACUCUGCAAUAAUCUUCUAAGGUCCUAGCUUUUUGGUUUGUUUCUUUGUUUGUUUUUCUAAUUAUAUAUAGAGAAAGUGAUGCUUUCUUUACUAUUACAACACAAGAGGUUAUGGACUUGCAGAAAACUCCAGGAAAAAUUCAUUCUGUCUAAACUCUGAAGCCAUGUUGUUCUAUGAGUAACGUCAGAUAUGUUCAUAGCUACCAGUACUAAUAGGAGUAUAUCCUCUUCUCAUAUUUAGACAAAGCUUAACUCAAUAUAAAUGUACUUAAUAUAUUUUCAAUUAUUUUUAAUGUUUAAUGUAGGCUUUUCUUUCUAUUGGAUAUUUUAUUUAUUUACAUUUCAAAUGUUAUCCUCCUUACCUGGUUUCCUCUCUGGAAACCUUCUAUCACAUACUCCCUCCCCCUGCCUCUAUUAGGAUGCUCACCCACCCACCCACCCACUCCUGCCUCCUUGUCCUGGCAUUCCUCUACACUAGGACAUUGAGCCUUCACAGGACUAAGGGCCUCAUUGAUGCCAGAUGAGUCCAUCUUCUGCUACAUAUUUGGCUGGAGCCUUCUUUGCAUUGUUGUUUGCCCUAACCAGUGAUUUGUUUAUUCUUAGCCAUGAUCCUCUGCUUGAAUUGCUCUUAUGGUCCUUGAUCUGCAAUAGAAAAACUUGACAGGCAAAGACUCUCUUCAUUUAUGUCCGAAUUUCUAUGAAUUAUAGUUUUUCCUUUGCUAGAAAUCCAAAAACAAUAAUUUUGUUGCAAACAACAAACUGAUCCAAAAUUCUUAUGAAGAAAAUGCUGUUUCAUUUAAUCCAACCGCUAAUAUUUCUCUCUCAGUCAUGACUUUGCAUGAGUUUAUAGGUCAUUCCUCUCAGCAUUUCCUGACUGUUUUCACAAUGCAAUUAUGCUGGUGAGUAACACAUCCCCAAUGUGCUUAUUAUUCAUUUUAUUAUGUUUUAUUAUUUACUAACAUAUAAAUUUUUCUGGAAUUAUUUGUAUAUUUUUCUGAGAAACAUGCAAUUAAUUUUUCCUUUCAAUUGUUAUUUUUUCUCAUGUUUCAUUACAUUACAACACAUUUGUAUACUAAUUUUUUAAAAGAAAAAACUUGAUAGUGUGAGCUUUAUCAUUGCAUUUUAGUAUGAUUGGCCUGUUAUGUCUUCCAUAUCAGAGAUUUUAAUUGUUUCCUGAUCAACCUCCUGAUAGCAUGAUCAAGUAUUACAGUAAUAAAUCUUAUGAAAUUAAUUUUGUUUUCUAAGAUUUCUAUGUUGAUUUUAUGUUCCACAAUAUUUUGCUGAACUAUUUAACUAUGGUUUAACUUGGUAAAUUUUGAAAUUAUGUUCUCUAGGGAGUUCUUGAAUAAUGAUUCCUCAGAAAACACACGAAUCUACAAAAGGAUAAUAUAAUCAAACAGACCACCACAAUAGUCACAGUAAAAUACAGGUGGUGAGUGAUGAGGCUAUCUAAAUAUUUAAAAGCUCAAGACGUCAUGCAUUAUGAAGU
rnacentral:lncRNA from 1 species